GAUGAACGCUGGCGGCGUGCCUAAUACAUGCAAGUCGAGCGAACAGACGAGGAGCUUGCUUCUCUGAUGUUAGCGGCGGACGGGUGAGUAACACGUGGAUAACCUACCUAUAAGACUGGGAUAACUUCGGGAAACCGGAGCUAAUACCGGAUAAUAUUUUGAACCGCAUGGUUCAAUAGUGAAAGACGGUUUUGCUGUCACUUAUAGAUGGAUCCGCGCCGCAUUAGCUAGUUGGUAAGGUAACGGCUUACCAAGGCAACGAUGCGUAGCCGACCUGAGAGGGUGAUCGGCCACACUGGAACUGAGACACGGUCCAGACUCCUACGGGAGGCAGCAGUAGGGAAUCUUCCGCAAUGGGCGAAAGCCUGACGGAGCAACGCCGCGUGAGUGAUGAAGGUCUUCGGAUCGUAAAACUCUGUUAUUAGGGAAGAACAAAUGUGUAAGUAACUAUGCACGUCUUGACGGUACCUAAUCAGAAAGCCACGGCUAACUACGUG
rnacentral:rRNA from 1 species